rnacentral:rRNA from 1 species
CCUCCCACGACCGGCCGCGUCGACGGGCUGGCUUGAGUGCGGUAGGGGAGGCUGGAACUCCUGGUGUAGCGGUGGAAUGCGCAGAUAUCAGGAAGAACACCGGUGGCGAAGGCGGGUCUCUGGGCCGUUACUGACGCUGAGGAGCGAAAGCGUGGGGAGCGAACAGGAUUAGAUACCCUGGUAGUCCACGCCGUAAACGAUGAGUGCUAGGUGUUGGAUCCUUUCCGGGAUUCAGUGCCGCAGCUAACGCAUUAAGCACUCCGCCUGGGGAGUACGACCGCAAGGUUGAAACUCAAAGGAAUUGACGGGGGCCCGCACAAGCGGUGGAGCAUGUGGUUUAAUUCGAAGCAACGCGAAGAACCUUACCAGGUCUUGACAUCCCGAUGCUAUU